UACGAAGGGGGCUAGCGUUGUUCGGAAUUACUGGGCGUAAAGCGCACGUAGGCGGCUUGUUAAGUCAAAGGUGAAAUCCCUCGGCUCAACUGAGGAACUGCCUUUGAGACUGUCGAGCUUGAGGCCGGGAGGGGGUAGCGGAAUUCCCAGUGUAGCGGUGAAAUGCGUAGAUAUUGGGAGGAACACCAGUGGCGAAGGCGGCUACCUGGACCGGUUCUGACGCUGAUGCGCGAAAGCGUGGGUAGCAAACAGG
rnacentral:rRNA from 1 species